rnacentral:rRNA from 1 species
CCUACGGGAGGCAGCAGUGGGGAAUAUUGGGCAAUGGGCGCAAGCCUGACCCAGCAACGCCGCGUGAAGGAAGAAGGCUUUCGGGUUGUAAACUUCUUUUAAGAGGGAAGAGCAGAAGACGGUACCUCUUGAAUAAGCCACGGCUAACUACGUGCCAGCAGCCGCGGUAAUACGUAGGUGGCAAGCGUUGUCCGGAUUUACUGGGGGUAAAGGGCGUGCAGCCGGGAAGACAAGUCAGAUGUGAAAUCCCGCGGCUCAACCGCGGAACUGCAUUUGAAACUGUUUUUCUUGAGUACCGGAGAGGUCAUCGGAAGUCCUUGUGUAGCGGUGAAAUGCGUAGAUAUAAGGAAGAACACCAGUGGCGAAGGCGGAUGACUGGACGGCAACUGACGGUGAGGCGCGAAAGCGUGGGGAGCAAACAGGAUUAGAUACCCUUGUAGUC